rnacentral:rRNA from 1 species
AACGAACGCUGGCGGCGUGCCUAACACAUGCAAGUCGAACGAGAAAGGGGCUUCGGCCCUGAGUAAAGUGGCGCACGGGUGAGUAACACGUGGGUAACCUGCCUCUAAGACUGGGACAACUUGUCGAAAGAUAAGCUAAUACCGGAUAAGACCACGGUUUCCGAGGGGACUGAGGUCAAAGGUAGCCUCUAUUUAUAAGCAAUCACUUAGAGAUGGGCCCGCGCACCAUUAGCUAGUUGGUGGGGUAAUGGCCUACCAAGGCAAAGAUGGUUAGCUGGUCUGAGAGGAUGAUCAGCCACAUUGGAACUGAGACACGGUCCAGACUCCUACGGGUGGCAG